UACGUAGGGUGCGAGCGUUAAUCGGAAUUACUGGGCGUAAAGCGUGCGCAGGCGGUUUUGUAAGCCAGAUGUGAAAUCCCCGGGCUUAACCUGGGAAUGGCAUUUGGGACUGCAAGGCUUGAGUUUGGCAGAGGAGACUGGAAUUCCUGGUGUAGCAGUGAAAUGCGUAGAUAUCGAGAGGAACACCUGCGGCGAAGGCGGGUUGCUGGGCUGACACUGACGCUGAUGUGCGAAAGCUAGGGGAGCGAACGGG
rnacentral:rRNA from 1 species